rnacentral:tRNA from 1 species
GCCGCGGUAGCUCAGUUGGUAGAGCAACGGACUGAAAAUCCGUGUGUCGCCGGUUCGAUUCCGGCCUGCGGCA